AUUGAACGCUGGCGGCAGGCCUAACACAUGCAAGUCGAGCGGUAGAGAGAAGCUUGCUUCUCUUGAGAGCGGCGGACGGGUGAGUAAUGCCUAGGAAUCUGCCUGGUAGUGGGGGAUAACGUUCGGAAACGGACGCUAAUACCGCAUACGUCCUACGGGAGAAAGCAGGGGACCUUCGGGCCUUGCGCUAUCAGAUGAGCCUAGGUCGGAUUAGCUAGUUGGUGGGGUAAUGGCUCACCAAGGCGACGAUCCGUAACUGGUCUGAGAGGAUGAUCAGUCACACUGGAACUGAGACACGGUCCAGACUCCUACGGGAGGGAGCAGUGGGGAGUAUUGGACAAUGGGCGAAAGCCUGAUCCAGCCAUGCCGCGUGUGUGAAGAAGGUCUUCGGAUUGUAAAGCACUUUAAGUUGGGAGGAAGGGCAGUAAAUUAAUACUUUGCUGUUUUGACGUUACCGACAGGAUAGGCACCGGCUAACUCUGUG
rnacentral:rRNA from 1 species